rnacentral:rRNA from 1 species
ACCCAGACUCCUACGGGAGGCAGCAGUGGGGAAUAUUGCACAAUGGGGGAAACCCUGAUGCAGCAACGCCGCGUGAGUGAAGAAGUAUUUCGGUAUGUAAAGCCCUAUCAGCAGGGAAGAAAAUGACGGUACCUGAUUAAGAAGCCCCGGCUAACUACGUGCCAGCAGCCGCGGUAAUACGUAGGGGGCAAGCGUUAUCCGGAUUUACUGGGUGUAAAGGGAGCGUAGGCGGCCUGCCAAGUCUGAUGUGAAAUACCGGGGCUCAACCCCGGGGCUGCGUUGGAAACUGGCAGGCUGGAGUGCCGGAGAGGCAGGCGGAAUUCCUAGUGUAGCGGUGAAAGGCGUAGAUAUUAGGAGGAACACCAGUGGCGAAGGCGGCCUGCUGGACGGUGACUGACGCUGAGGCUCGAAAGCGUGGGGAGCAAACAGGAUUAGAUACCCUAGUAUC